CUUCUCAAUACCACAAAUCUCCCAUUAUAUAAUAAAUCCACUUCACACCGGACUCACUUGGUCAGUUUAACAGAGAAGAAAAUAUGUCCCUUGUACCGACUGGACGAAAACGGACACUUCACUCUUUACGACCACCGAUUCUGACUGGACUGAGCGGUCUUCAGCAUCCAGGCUCAGAAGUCAGUUGAAGGGUCCGCCGAUCAUGCUAUUGCCGAUUGUGCCGUCCCCAUUCACUGUCCAUCAAGCAACACAUCAUCUUGAAAAGUCCCUCAACUGGCCUUAAGAGUCUGUCGUCAUCUUCCCCUGCACAGUCUUUCUGGUCAUCUUCAUCCUCGUCAACCCAUUGGAUCAGUGCCUUUGAUGGAGAAAGGAUGUGCUCAGAUGGCUUUUUGGUAAUCCGUAGUGGACCCUUGAAUGGCCACCGCCUCUGAAGUAUCUUAGAAAGCCCCAAAUGGCUACUAUUUCUGGAGGACAGUGAAGGGCCCUCUGACCACUGCAUCACCGUGGCUAUCGCUGUCCAUGGUGCUGAAGUUAUUGCUGGUGCUGUGACACACACAGCUCUAGACUCACGGUUUAGCAUCCCGCAGUGCUUAUACCUAAUGCCGCAUUGAAUCCUUGGUGUGAAUAAGUUAGACUUAUAGACACAUCAGGAGUCUUUCAUUUUCUCUCUUUAGUGGAUGCAGGAUGCCUGUGUGAUCAAUGAUAAUCAUAGUGUGAAUAUGAAUCACAUUUUAAUUAAGUUCCCAUUGUGUGAGAUAGUCUAAAGCUUUUUUAUUGUGUGCUUUAAUAUACUGUAUCUAUGAGUUGUAAUUCUGUCUCUGAGUGUGACACACCUCUUCCUUGGCAAAGGACUGCAUAUUCAAAUGUGUGAAGAUUUCUGAGGUAUUUCUGCAUCAGACUAAUGAGACUGUUUAUAUUAUCCUGGCUCAUGAUUUAUUUGGUUUUGAAAUGCGUUUUCACUCUGUUGCCAUGAUAACCGUGCUUAUCAAAUAAACCAUUAGAACGAAAAUAUGCA